GAUGAACGCUGGCGGCGUGCCUAAUACAUGCAAGUCGAGCGAACGGACGAGAAGCUUGCUUUUCUGAUGUUAGCGGCGGACGGGUGAGUAACACGUGGAUAACCUACCUAUAAGACUGGGAUAACUUCGGGAAACCGGAGCUAAUACCGGAUAAUAUUUUGAACCGCAUGGUUCAAAAGUGAAAGACGGUCUUGCUGUCACUUAUAGAUGGAUCCGCGCUGCAUUAGCUAGUUGGUAAGGUAACGGCUUACCAAGGCAACGAUGCAUAGCCGACCUGAGAGGGUGAUCGGCCACACUGGAACUGAGACACGGUCCAGACUCCUACGGGAGGCAGCAGUAGGGAAUCUUCCGCAAUGGGCGAAAGCCUGACGGAGCAACGCCGCGUGAGUGAUGAAGGUCUUCGGAUCGUAAAACUCUGUUAUUAGGGAAGAACAUAUGUGUAAGUAACUGUGCACAUCUUGACGGUACCUAAUCAGAAAGCCACGGCUAACUACGUGCCAGCAGCCGCGGUAAUACGUAGGUGGCAAGCGUUAUCCGGAAUUAUUGGGCGUAAAGCGCGCGUAGGCGGUUUUUUAAGUCUGAUGUGAAAGCCCACGGCUCAACCGUGGAGGGUCAUUGGAAACUGGAAAACUUGAGUGCAGAAGAGGAAAGUGGAAUUCCAUGUGUAGCGGUGAAAUGCGCAGAGAUGUGGAGGAACACCAGUGGCGAAGGCGACUUUCUGGUCUGUAACUGACGCUGAUGUGCGAAAGCGUGGGGAUCAAACAGGAUUAGAUACCCUGGUAGUCCACGCCGUAAACGAUGAGUGCUAAGUGUUAGGGGGUUUCCGCCCCUUAGUGCUGCAGCUAACGCAUUAAGCACUCCGCCUGGGGAGUACGACCGCAAGGUUGAAACUCAAAGGAAUUGACGGGGGCCCGCACAAGCGGUGGAGCAUGUGGUUUAAUUCGAAGCAACGCGAAGAACCUUACCAAAUCUUGACAUCCUUUGACAACUCUAGAGAUAGAGCCUUCCCCUUCGGGGGACAAAGUGACAGGUGGUGCAUGGUUGUCGUCAGCUCGUGUCGCGAGAUGUUGGGUUAAGUCCCGCAACGAGCGCAACCCUUAAGCUUAGUUGCCAUCAUUAAGUUGGGCACUCUAAGUUGACUGCCGGUGACAAACCGGAGGAAGGUGGGGAUGACGUCAAAUCAUCAUGCCCCUUAUGAUUUGGGCUACACACGUGCUACAAUGGACAAUACAAAGGGCAGCGAAACCGCGAGGUCAAGCAAAUCCCAUAAAGUUGUUCUCAGUUCGGAUUGUAGUCUGCAACUCGACUACAUGAAGCUGGAAUCGCUAGUAAUCGUAGAUCAGCAUGCUACGGUGAAUACGUUCCCGGGUCU
rnacentral:rRNA from 1 species